UACGUAGGGUGCAAGCGUUGUCCGGAAUUAUUGGGCGUAAAGAGCUCGUAGGCGGUUUGUCGCGUCGAAUGUGAAAACCCGGGGCUCAACCCCGGGCCUGCAUUCGAUACGGGCAGACUAGAGUUCGGUAGGGGAGUCUGGAAUUCCUGGUGUAGCGGUGAAAUGCGCAGAUAUCAGGAGGAACACCGGUGGCGAAGGCGGCUACCUGGAGCUUUGCUGACGCUGAUGCGCGAAAGCGUGGGGAGCGAUCCGG
rnacentral:rRNA from 1 species